AGCGAACGCUGGCGGCAGGCCUAACACGUGCAAGUCGAACGGACCCUUCGGGGUUAGUGGCGGACGGGUGAGUAACACGUGGGAACGUGCCUUUAGGUUCGGAAUAGCUCCUGGAAACGGGUGGUAAUGCCGAAUGUGCCCUUCGGGGGAAAGAUUUAUCGCCUUUAGAGCGGCCCGCGUCUGAUUAGCUUGUUGGUGGGGUAAUGGCCCACCAAGGCUACGAUCAGUAGCUGGUCUGAGAGGAUGACCAGCCACAUUGGGACUGAGACACGGCCCAAACUCCUACGGGAGGCAGCAGUGGGGAAUCUUGCGCAGUGGGCGAAAGCCUGACGCAGCCAUGCCGCGUGUAUGAUGAAGAUCUUAGGAUUGUAAAAUACUUUCACCGGUGAAGAUAAUGACUGUAGCCGGAGAAGAAGCCCCGGCUAACUUCGUGCCAGCAGCCGCGGUAAUACGAAGGGGGCUAGCGUUGCUCGGAAUUACUGGGCGUAAAGGGAGCGUAGGCGGACAUUUAAGUCGA
rnacentral:rRNA from 1 species